UACAGAGGUCCCGAGCGUUGUUCGGAUUCACUGGGCGUAAAGGGUGCGUAGGUGGUGAGGUAAGUCGGAUGUGAAAUCUCCGGGCUCAACCCGGAAACUGCAUUGGAAACUACCUUGCUUGAGGAUUUGAGGGGGGAUUGGAAUACUUGGUGUAGCAGUGAAAUGCGUAGAUAUCAAGUGGAACACCAGUGGCGAAGGCAGCACUCUGGGACGUGACUGACGCUGAGACGCGAAAGCGUGGGGAGCAAACAGG
rnacentral:rRNA from 1 species